rnacentral:rRNA from 1 species
CCUACGGGAGGCAGCAGUAGGGAAUCUUCGGCAAUGGGGGGAACCCUGACCGAGCAACGCCGCGUGAGUGAAGAAGGUUUUCGGAUCGUAAAGCUCUGUUGUUAAGGAAGAACGUGUGUGAGAGUGGAAAGUUCACACAGUGACGGUACUUAACCAGAAAGGGACGGCUAACUACGUGCCAGCAGCCGCGGUAAUACGUAGGUCCCGAGCGUUGUCCGGAUUUAUUGGGCGUAAAGCGAGCGCAGGCGGUUAGAUAAGUCUGAAGUGAAAGGCAGUGGCUCAACCAUUGUAGGCUUUGGAAACUGUUUAACUUGAGUGCAGAAGGGGAGAGUGGAAUUCCAUGUGUAGCGGUGAAAUGCGUAGAUAUAUGGAGGAACACCGGUGGCGAAAGCGGCUCUCUGGUCUGUAACUGACGCUGAGGCUC